UCCUACGGGGCGCAGCAGUCGGGAAUAUUGCGCAAUGGAGGAAACUCUGACGCAGUGACGCCGCGGAUAGGAAGAAGGUUUUCGGAUUGUAAACUAUUGUCGUUAGGGAAGAUAAAAGACUGUACCUAAGGAGGAAGCCCCGGCUAACUAUGUGCCAGCAGCCGCGGUAAUACAUAGGGGGCAAGCGUUAUCCGGAAUUACUGGGUGUAAAGGGUGAGUAGGCGGCAUGGUAAGCCAGAUGUGAAAGCCUUGGGCUUAACCCGAGGAUUGCAUUUGGAACUAUCAAGCUAGAGUACAGGAGAGGA
rnacentral:rRNA from 1 species